GCCUAUAUAUCUCUGCAAUGUAAGUGACGUCUUUUCUAUUAGCAAUCCUCCUCCGACCCUCCCAAUCUCCUUUUACUCAUUCGUCUCCACUUCCAUUGAACACCGAAAUGGGACUAUCAGGGCUUGAAUGUUCCUCCCAAAACGAUAAGAGGCGCUCCCCUUGUGAACCCUGUGCCCUGUUCUGGAGUGAUUUCAGGCACUGGUGUAAGGCAGUCAUAGAACGACGCCCCCCAGUUCUCGCCUGUUGACAGUGUUGGACCGAGCGCUUUGUUGAAGUAGGGAAUAUAAUAACUUUAGGUCGUAGUCUACGAGUCCUAUCGCGUUCGCUCCUCGGAUUCGCACAUCAUUUCGUCGUUAUUCCUCGUUCGCAUGGGGUUAGAGGGUAACGAAUUUUUUGGUAGGGCUUGUAAGACGACUGAGUGUAAGACGGAGUGGAUGAUGCUGUUUCGCUGGACAUGUAAAUGGGGAUAGGGACGACCUAGACAAAAGCCUACGCGACUAUGUUAGUGACAAAUAGGGCAGUUGGAGCCGAUGGAAUAGGGGAUCAAUAUGGAGAUUGGUCAAAUUGAACGCGUUGUCGAGCGAUGGCAGUGGAUAAUUAAGGUAUUGUAUAACAUAGCCACUUGGUCUUCGCGAACACUACAAUGUGUUCGACCAUGAAUUUCCUCUCGUAUUUCUUC
rnacentral:sRNA from 1 species